CCCCCUUGUGGUCGGUGUACAGGUGGUGCAUGGCUGUCGUCAGCUCGUGUCGUGAGAUGUUGGGUUAAGUCCCGCAACGAGCGCAACCCUUGUCCUGUGUUGCCAGCAUGCCCUUCGGGGUGAUGGGGACUCACAGGAGACCGCCGGGGUCAACUCGGAGGAAGGUGGGGACGACGUCAAGUCAUCAUGCCCCUUAUGUCUUGGGCUGCACACGUGCUACAAUGGCAGGUACAAUGAGCUGCGAAACCGUGAGGUAGAGCGAAUCUCAAAAAGCCUGUCUCAGUUCGGAUUGGGGUCUGCAACUCGACCCCAUGAAGUCGGAGUUGCUAGUAAUCGCAGAUCAGCAUUGCUGCGGUGAAUACGUUCCCGGGUCUUGUACACACCGAA
rnacentral:rRNA from 1 species